CACCAACCAGGGAUUGGAACUGCUGCAAAAGAUUAAUGGGCGCCCGGGGCAGAAGAUUAGUGAGAUUUCAGCAGCCUGAGUAUUUGCUGAGUUCCUGACAGAGAGCAGGAAGAACUUCCGGCUUGCGAAGCUGUCACUGACGCCAUAUCCUGUGUCCCUUUAAGGAAGGCAUUCCAGUCUGUGACCCUCGCCUGAAGCAGAAUAUACACAGUGAAAAGAAGGCCUCUUCAGAGCCCUAUCCAGGACAUCAAUAAAUCAAUUUCAAGCUGACCAAGAGACUUUCUGCUGGAAGGUGCAACACAGGCUGGUGGGAGGGAGAAAAAAAGAUCAGCAGCCUUGCCCUGUGAGAACCAUGUUUGGUACAACAAAGACCUGCUAGGCAAUCAGUUCACGGUUCUCUGCCUAGAGCUUACAAAAGAGGAGCUGAACAACAUAUCAUAGAAGGCAUAACUCACUGGAGGGCUGUCAUAGCAUACCGGACAAUAAGAUCUGCAUGCUUUUCUGAAACUUGUGGAGGGAAAAGCACCAAAGAACUUCGUGGUAUUUUGGCUGCUCCUUGCCACUUCAGUGGAUGCGCACCAAUUCAGUGGAGCCUUGUGGUUUCUGCUGGAUUGAACUGCUGCUACUGAUUCAUGUUCGGUGUUUGCCAAUUGGACUGGACUGCCACUACUGAUUCAUGGGAAGAACUACUUCUAAGCAGCCUUGUUAGGAUGAGUGGUCCAGUCUCUAUAUUCUCAUGUUGUAUAAGAGGCUCUGCCAAUCAAUGCUUCCAAUCAUGAUUGUGUGCAGUGUCCAGAUGGUGCAUGUGGGGAACGAAGAGGAACAUACAAUAAGAGAUUGGAGCCUUGACAAGACUGAACUGAAAGACUGCAUGGAAAGUUUCCCCACUGUGGUUGUCAAGCAUAUGAACACAGAAGCUAGUAGGGCCCAUUCUCAUCACACUGCAAGGAUGGACAUGGCUUCAUUGAGAGAAAAGCUGAAGCAAGGACAGUACCCGAGGCUACCAGGAGAGCUCACUGCCCCAAAUUAACAAGUCCUGACAAGAUCACUUGCACAGACAUAGCAGAAUACCCUCAUGCCUUUUUUUUCCUGAUUGGCUUCUUGGUAUUGAGUUAUGUAACAUUAAUGACAUUUUCUAAGGUUCCUACAUGCUGAGCACUCCAUAGCUUUGUGUCAGGGGAAGGAUUUGGUAUAGUGUUAGGAGGUGAUGGGAUAGUUUCUAAGAGAAGUGACUUAAAGAGAAGUUGG
ensembl:lncRNA